rnacentral:rRNA from 1 species
UACGGAGGGUGCAAGCGUUAUCCGGAUUCACUGGGUUUAAAGGGUGCGUAGGCGGCUAUAUAAGUCAGUGGUGAAAGCCCGCAGCUCAACUGCGGAAUUGCCAUUGAAACUGCAUAGCUUGAAUCUGGUUGAAGUGGGCGGAAUACAUCAUGUAGCGGUGAAAUGCUUAGAUAUGAUGUAGAACACCGAUUGCGAAGGCAGCUCACUAAGCCAACAUUGACGCUGAGGCACGAAAGCGUGGGUAGCGAAC